UACGUAGGGGGCAAGCGUUGUCCGGAAUUAUUGGGCGUAAAGAGCGUGUAGGCGGUCCGGUAAGUCCGCUGUGAAAGUCCAGGGCUCAACCCUGGAAUGCCGGUGGAUACUGCCGGGCUAGAGUCCGGAAGAGGCGAGUGGAAUUCCUGGUGUAGCGGUGAAAUGCGCAGAUAUCAGGAGGAACACCGGCGGCGAAGGCGGCCCUCUGGACGGUGACUGACGCUAAGACGCGAAAGCGUGGGGAGCAAACAGG
rnacentral:rRNA from 1 species